AUUGGCUCUCUUAACUGUAACAACUGGGCUUUUGACUACUGGGGAAAAGGCACCAUGGUAACAGUGUCAUCAGCCACUCCAAAUGCACCAACUGUGUUUCCUCUGAUGCAAUGUGGUUCUGGGACUGGAAACACGGUCACUCUUGGUUGCCUUGCCACCAGCUUCACACCCUCCUCACUGACCUACUCAUGGAGCAUAGUAAAUGGGGCUGCCUUGACAGACUUCAUUCAGUACCCUCCAGUACUGAAAGACAACCUUUAUACUGGAAUAAGUCAAGUCCAAGUGAGCAAACAGGACUGGGACGCCCUGAAAUCCUUCAGAUGUGAUGUAACACAUACAGCGGGAAAUCAACAUGUUAUUAUCACAAAGCCAAGGAUAUAUCAGUUGCCAACUCUUAAAGUAAUGACCUGCUCUGAUGAGGGCACCGAGACUACCCUCUCCUGCUUUGCCAAAGAUUUUUCACCAAAAGAUUUUGAGUUCAAAUGGCUGAAAAAUGAAGCAAAAAUCACCACUGGAAUAACCAACAUCAAAACACCUUUUGAUGAAAAAAAGACAGAGAAUGGAAUACUGUACAGUGCAGCAAGUUUUCUGACAGUGCCAUCACGUGAGUGGACUGACACCAAUACGUUUACAUGUGAGUUUAUGGGGAAAGGUGAACAAGGUCCAACGUAUGUGAAUUCAUCUGUGACCUACAAAAUUCCUAAACUUGUUGAUGGACCUGAAUGCGUGGAAGCAGAUGUGGAAGUAACCAUCAUAGAACCAACAAUGGAGGACUUUGUUUUAAACGGAAAGGGAAAUGUAAAAUGUCAAGUCAAGAUAAACAAACCAUCUGUCCAAAAGAUUUUCUGGGAGACCCAUGAUGGAAAAGACAUACCUGAUGCUGUUCCAGUGAAGCCCCCUGCAGGACAUAAAGGUACAUACGUCGCUUUACUUCCCAUCACAUUUGAAGAAUGGAGACAGGGGGAAAAGUUCAUCUGCAUUGUUGAACAUGAAGACUGGAUAGAGCCACGUAAG